GUCGAACGAUGAAAGAGGAGCUUGCUCCUCUGGAUUAGUGGCGAACGGGUGAGUAACACGUGAGCAAUGUGCCCUUGACUCUGGAAUAAGCGCUGGAAACGGCGUCUAAUACCGGAUACGACCCUCGGAGGCAUCUCCAGGGGGUGGAAAGAACUUCGGUCAAGGAUCAGCUCACGGCCUAUCAGUUAGUUGGUGAGGUAACGGCUCACCAAGACGACGACGGGUAGCCGGCCUGAGAGGGUGACCGGCCACACUGGGACUGAGACACGGCCCAGACUCCUACGGGAGGCAGCAGUGGGGAAUAUUGCACAAUGGGCGCAAGCCUGAUGCAGCAACGCCGCGUGAGGGACGACGGCCUUCGGGUUGUAAACCUCUUUUAGCAGGGAAGAAGCGAAAGUGACGGUACCUGCAGAAAAAGCACCGGCUAACUACGUGCCAGCAGCCGCGGUAAUACGUAGGGUGCAAGCGUUGUCCGGAAUUAUUGGGCGUAAAGAGCUCGUAGGCGGUUUGUCACGUCUGCUGUGAAAUCCCGAGGCUCAACCUCGGGCUUGCAGUGGGUACGGGCAGACUAGAGUGCGGUAGGGGAGAUUGGAAUUCCUGGUGUAGCGGUGGAAUGCGCAGAUAUCAGGAGGAACACCGAUGGCGAAGGCAGAUCUCUGGGCCGUAACUGACGCUGAGGAGCGAAAGCAUGGGGAGCAAACAGGCUUAGAUACCCUGGAGUCCAUGCCGUAAACGUUGGAACUAGAUGUGGGGACCAUUUCCACGGUCUCCGUGUCGUAGCUAACGCAUUAA
rnacentral:rRNA from 1 species